rnacentral:rRNA from 1 species
UACAGAGGUGGCAAGCGUUGUUCGGAAUUACUGGGCGUAAAGGGCGCGUAGGCGGCCUUCUAAGUCAGACGUGAAAUCCCCAGGCUUAACUUGGGAACUGCGUCUGAUACUGGGAGGCUUGAGUGCGGGAGAGGGAUGUGGAAUUCCAGGUGUAGCGGUGAAAUGCGUAGAUAUCUGGAGGAACACCGGUGGCGAAGGCGGCAUCCUGGACCGACACUGACGCUGAGGCGCGAAAGCUAGGGGAGCAAACGGC